ACAGUUCUACUGGCUGGCUUUGCCGGCUGUAGACUGAAUAAAUAUAGACAACUCUCAACAACGGAUAUCUUGGCUCCCGUAACGAUGAAGAACGCAGCGAAAUGCGAUACGUAGUGUGAAUUGCAGAAUUCCGUGAACCAUCGAAUCUUUGAACGCAAAUUGCGCUCGAGGCCUCGGCCAAGAGCAUGUCUGCCUCAGCGUCG
rnacentral:rRNA from 1 species